rnacentral:rRNA from 1 species
CAAUAGCGUAUAUUAAAGUUGUUGCAGUUAAAAAGCUCGUAGUUGGACCUUGGACCUGGACAGGCGGUCCGCCUCACGGCGUGUACUGUCUUGCUGGGUCUUUCCUCUUGGUGAUCUGCUGUUUCGGCAGCAGGGAACCAGGACUUUUACUUUGAAAAAAUUAGAGUGUUCAAAGCAGGCUCGACGCCGGAAUAUAUUAGCAUGGAAUAAUAAAAUAGGACGUGCGGUUCUAUUUUGUUGGUUUUUGGAAUCGCCGUAAUGAUUAAUAGGGACAGUCGGGGGCAUUAGUACUCACAUGCUAGAGGUGAAAUUCUUGGAUUUUGUGAAGACUAACUUCUGCGAAAGCAUUUGCCAAGGAUGUUUUCAUUAA